rnacentral:lncRNA from 1 species
UGGGAGCUGAGCUGGUCAACCUUUUCACUCUCCCUUAUCUUUGCCAGCACCAUCAUGUUGAGCGCUCCAGAAUUGCUAUGGAUAGGCUACCCAAUACCACCAUCUGCAAAAGACAAAGUCAGUUCUGUUCUCAGUCCUACAGAGUAGGCUCAUCUGGAUGCAUGCCAGUAAGGACAACCCCACUGUGCUGCCCCAUCUAAGUGGAGGCUUGCCUCUCCCAAGUGUUGUUGCUGUAAAAAGUUCUGAGUUAGAUUUCCCACUCUCAUCCCCAACAGAGCUGGCUCAUCUGUGCCUUCACCAUGAGGCCCAGCUUCACUAUGCUAUCUGAUCCCCUGAGUACUAUAUCCAGUGAGGGGCAGAGGUUGCUCCCCAGCUCUCAUGACCUCUGGCCCAGUUCUCCUGACCAUUACAAGUGGGAAGGGGUGAGGUAGGAAAGGGUAUCACAUUUGACUACCUCAUGGAAAAGGAGUGAUGAGGCAAGCACUUCUAUGAUCUGGCCCUCAAAGCAUCGGGUUCAGAGUUGCUGUGCUAUCCAGGAUUUCACUUUCUUUCAAUGUAAAAUAAAAAUUGGUUAUAAGAUGUGCGGACUAAUUUUCACCACCAACUUCAUUGGAUCUAGAAUCAACAGGUUCUACAGCCUUUGAAAGAAGACUGAAAACCAAACUCCUCAGGAAUUCUCUAAGCCUUCAGCGUUGCAUUGGGGCUA